UAACCGGUCCUUUUUUCUACCUCGUACUCGCAUCUGCAUCGUCUGAUCGGUAGUCAAGCUUAUCAAGUCCCAAUCAAAUCCUCCUCUUUCGCUCUUCUUCGUUAACUUGUAUCCACCGCUACUAAUUCAGCCGGAAAUUUUUGUCGAAAGAGUAUGUGGGAGGUGAUCAUCGGGGAUUUGAGUCAACAAUGUGUAAUUCGAUUGUCCAGCUUGUACAUCGAUUAAUCAGUCGGUUUGCAGCUUGCAUGUCCAACCAGGAACUUUCAGUUUGGAUGCGUCCAUAUGCUCAUAGAGCUUGGGCUCGUGCAUUUCAUUCAAGUAUGUUCACAUGUGAGGGUAAAAUGGUCAUCUUCACACUCUCUUUUCCAUCUCUCAAUCAUCCGUUGGGUAACAUUUGCUGCUUUUGAUGCAAUGGAAGGGGUUGUGUUGCAGAAGCUAUCUGUGUUGUUUGAUGAAUGGCAGGUGGUGCACUCUCUUUAGCCGAAAAGUACUUCUCACAAUAGGGACAUGGGUAUACUUUUAGGUAUUCUUUGCUGGAGAAAUAGAGGGAAUACUUGAAGAAUUGGAAGAAUUGUAGGAACUCUAGAAUAUGUUUGGGUUGUUGUACCAUGAAUGGACCGUGUAUAUGUUAUUGAGAAUGUAUAGUACAAAAGUAUAUUAUUUUGUUGAUUGAGCUAAAAUAGCAACCCACUUUUCAUAUUUAUCUGAUAUCAAUGUACUUAUCAUUUUUACUUACAAUUAGCAAUUGAGAUUCUUCUCUUUUA